GCAUCACACUUGUGCAGGUACAGAGGAGGGCCACAAAAUGGCUGGAGCACCUCUUUUCUGAGGUCUGAGAGAGCUGAGUUUGUUCAGCCUAAAGAAGAGAAGAUUCCAGGGAGACUUCUUUGUGGCCUUCCUGUACUUGAAGAAGUGGUGGAAUGCUGGCUUAAGUUGCCCAGAACGGUGGUGGAUGACCCAACCCUGGAAACGUUCAAGACCAGGCUGAACUGGGCUCUGAGUAACCUGAUCUAGUUGAAGAUGUCACUGCACAUUUCAGGAGGGCUGGACUAGAAAAUAUUUGGUCUUUGGCAGUACAGAUUGAAGUCUGAAGAGCUGCUGGAGCUGCCAAGUUUGCAUCUUAGAAGGAAGGACUCCAAGACCAACAGGGAACUCCUCAGCAACAGCUUCAGCUGCUCCCAAGUCCUGCAGGCUGGAUAGACCUUUAGACA